rfam:Aneurinibacillus migulanus strain DSM 2895 super7, whole genome shotgun sequence.
GUAAAAAUGAAAGCAAAAACUCGUAUAAUAGCAGGGAUAGGGCCUGCAAGUUUCUACCAGAUUGCCGUAAACAAUCUGACUACGGGUGAAAAUGAGAAUUUC